rnacentral:rRNA from 1 species
GACGAACGCCGGCGGCGUGCCUAACACAUGCAAGUCGAGCGAAGUGAGUACUACGGUACGAACUUAGCGGCGGACGGGUGAGUAACGCGUGGACAAUCUACCCUGUAAACUGGGAUAACACCUCGAAAGGGGUGCUAAUACCGGAUAAUGUCGAGAAGCGGCAUCGCUUUUCGAAGAAAGGAGAGAAUCCGCUAUAGGAGGAGUCCGCGUCCCAUUAGCUAGUUGGUGAGGGUAACGGCCCACCAAGGCGACGAUGGGUAGCCGGCCUGAGAGGGGGAACGGCCGCACUGGAAAUGAGUCACUGUCCAGACUCGUACGGGAGGCAGCAGUAGGGAAUAUUGUGCAAUGGGAGAAACCCUGACACAGCAACGCCGCGUGAGCGAAGAAGGCGUUCGGGUUGUAAAGCUCAAUAGUAUGGGAAGAUAAUGACGGUACCAUACGAAAGCCCCGGCUAACUACGUGCCAGCCGCCGCCGUAACAC